rnacentral:lncRNA from 1 species
GGUCUGGGGUGCCAUGUCAGCUGCUGGUGUGGGUCCACUUUGUUUUAUCAAGGGCAGGGUCAAUGCAGCUAGCUAUCAGGAGAUUUUGGAGCACUUCAUGCUUCCAUCUGCUGAAAAGCUUUAUGGAGAUGAAGAUUUCGUUUUUCAGCACGACCUGGCACCUGCUCACAGUGCCAAAACCAGUGGUAAAUGGUUUACUGACCAUGGUAUUACUGUGCUCAAUUGGCCUGCCAACUCUCCUGGCAAUCAGGCUGAUUGCCUCCAUGCCACGCCGCAUUGAAGCAGUCAUUUCUGCAAAAGGAUUCCCGACCAAGUAUUGAGUGCAUAACUGAACAUAAUUAUUUGAAGGUUGACUUUUUUUGUAUUAAAAACACUUUUCUUUUUUAUUGGUCGGAUGAAAUAUGCUAAUUUUUUGAGAUAGGAAUUUUGGGUUUUCAUGAGCUGUAUGCCAAAAUCAUCAGUAUUAAAACAAUAAAAGACCUGAAAUAUUUCAGUUGGUGUGCAAUGAAUCUAAAAUAUAUGAAAGUUUAAUUUUAUCAUUACAUUAUGGAAAAUAAUGAACUUUUAUCACAAUAUGCUAAUUUUUUGAGAAGGACCUGUACUGGUACUAUGAUAAAUUAAAAUUUCCCACAAAUUUGGGAUCUGAAAUGAAACCAGUAGAAACUAGUUAGUUAACAAAACCAGCGAUGGGAAUGUAUUCUGUUUAUGACAGUGAAAUAUAUUGCACACCCAAUUCCAGAAACUCCACAAACAUCCAAGCUGCUACACUACAAAGGUAGGACUGAUGCCAAGAUUCCUUUACAAAAGAUUAAAACCCAGUCUGAAGGGGUUUCAGAGGGAAGGACACAAGAGAGAUAGAGCGAGCCAUCUCAUUAGCAGGCAAGUCAAUGCACAAUUGCGGCCGACCUCCCUCCGGUCAAGCCCGUUUCAGACACAUGACCCGUGGAACGUGUGGCAGAAUCCCACAGAGGCAAGAGCCUGGCCUUCUGCUCACAAGCCCAGCAGCCAUUUUAUCAUCAAAGGAGCUUUAUCUUCCACAAUAGCCCACUUUAUCUGACAAACCGACUGUUACCCAAGCAAGAGAAACAGCAAAACGGUUUUAAUUCUACAAUG